GAAUCUUGCGCAAUGAGCGAAAGCUUGACGCAGCGAUGCCGCGUGCGGGAUGACGGCCCUCGGGUUGUAAACCGCUUUCAGCAGGGACGAAAUUGACGGUACCUGUAGAAGAAGCCCCGGCCAACUACGUGCCAGCAGCCGCGGUAAUACGUAGGGGGCAAGCGUUGUCCGGAUUUAUUGGGCGUAAAGAGCUCGUAGGCGGUUCGGCAAGUCGGCUGUGAAAUCUCCACGCUCAACGUGGAGGGGUCAGUCGAGACUGCUGUGACUCGAGUCCGGUAGGGGAGUGUGGAAUUCCCGGUGUAGCGGUGAAAUGCGCAGAGAUCGGGAGGAACACCCGUAGCGAAGGCGGCACUCUGGGCCGGUACUGACGCUGAGGAGCGAAAGCGUGGGGAGCAAAC
rnacentral:rRNA from 1 species